UGGGAAGUGGCUUAGUGGUAGAGCGCUUGCCUUGCAUGCAUGAGGCCCUGGGUUUGCUUUCUUAGCACCACAA
rfam:Dipodomys ordii contig_10392, whole genome shotgun sequence.